rnacentral:rRNA from 1 species
CCCUUAGAUGUUCUGGGCCGCACGCGCGCUACACUGAUUCAUGCAACAAGUUUUGUCCUUGGCUGAUAGGCCUGGGUAAUCUUUGAACGUGAAUCGUGAUGGGGAUAGAUGAUUGCAAUUAUUCAUCUUCAACGAGGAAUUCCUAGUAAACGCAAGUCGUCAGCUUGCAUUGAUUACGUCCCUGCCCUUUGUACACACCGCCCGUCGCACCUACCGAUUGAAUGGUCCGGUGAAAUCUUCGGAUCUGAGAGAUGUCUGAUUAAUUUCGGACGCCUUUUGGAAAAGUUGUUUAAACCUUACCAUUUAGAGGAAGGUGAAGUCGUAACA